CCAAGCAGCGCCAAUCUUUCCAGCUUAUUUGCUUUGUCCCUACGACCGGUGUGCAACAGAAUUUCCGGGUCCGUUUUCUCUGUUCUGCCAGGGGGUGCGGACAGCCAUGGUCUGCAGCCUUCAAAACCCGAGUGGCAUUUUUAACCCCAGGCACUGAGAAGGAUCCCACUUUAACCUUCUCCCUCUUUGUUACAGUUCUCCUUUAUUCUCUCUCUGACUUUCUCCUGCUUUCCUUCCCAUGAAGCCCAGCCAGAAUUUUCGCACCAGCUGAUGCGUACUUCUGUAGUAAUAAAGGAUAUGAGGGAAACAGUGGGAAAAUACAAGAGGAUGACAAGGAGUUGAUGAUGGCAUCUGGAACACCCCCCCCCCCACAACAAUUCUAUGUAUGAAGCAGGAAAAUUGCCCAUUAAAAGGUUUGUCUGGAAGCACCCACAAAGAGCACACAGAAGCCCUUAUUACAGCUAUUUACUUCAAGCUGAAGCUCACGAAAGCUUGGGAAUGUCAGAUUUACAUUCUUUAAACCAUCCUCUAAGCUAUGAAGUAAGGAAGACUAUGAUGAAUUUUGAGGAUUCACGUAUCCAAACUCAGACCUCUCUCCACUGGCCUUCUCAUCUCUAGGCAGAAUAGCCACGCUAAAUAAAUCAAUAUGACACUUAUGCAGCCACCACAGAGGUCAUUGGGUGGCCAUGUGACCUUUUUACAGAGGACAGUCUUCUAUUUGAAGGACUGUCCAUUCCACGUCCAGUAUAUGGAUACCACGAGAUAAAGAACUACCAGAAGGAAGAGCUGGGCCUUGAUGUCGUCCAUCCACCUACAGCACCUGGACAGGAGACGGUGCAAGGCCCACAUGUCUUCUGGUUACAGUCUUCCAUCCUAUGGUGAGCUAUACUGUACUGCUACUUAAAUUAUAACUAUCUCUUCUAAACUUG